rnacentral:misc_RNA from 1 species
GAUGAAGAACGCAGCGAAAUGCGAUACGUAAUGUGAAUUGCAGAAUUCAGUGAAUCAUCGAAUCUUUGAACGCAUAUUGCCCUCUUUGGUAUUCCGAAGAGCAUGCUUGUUUGAGUAUCAGUAAACACCUCAACCUCUUCUUGAUUUUUCAAAAGGAGGGUGGACUUGAGCUAUCCCAACAACCUUUACCGGUCGGCGGGCGGCUUGAAAUGGAGGUGCAGCUGGACUUUUAUCUGAGCUAAAAGCAUAUCUAUUUAGUCCUCGUCAAACAGGAUUAUUACUUUUGCUGCAGCUAACAUAAAGGAUAAUUGUCCUCUUUGCUGACUGAUGCAGGAUUUUACGACACUUUAUGUGUUGUUCAACUCGAUCUCAAAUCAAGUAAGACUACCCGCUGAACUUAAGCAUACCAAUAAGCGGAGGA